AUGCCUCCCCCGCCGCAGUCCAUCGCCGGCAAGGUCAGCCGCUUCUUCAGCUUCGCGGCGGCGCGGGACCGCUGCUUCAACCGCCGCUUCCUCGCCGCCGGCCUCCGCCCGGUCUCCAUCCAGCUCCCCGACUCGGCGCGCCCGGUCUCCAUCUCCGACUCGGCGGACCCCGUCACCACCGUCCACAUGUGGGUCCCCGCCAGGCCGCCACGCAACCCCCUGGUCCUCCUCCACGGCUUCGGCGCCUCCGCCACGUGGCAGUGGUACCCCUACCUCCGCCCCCUCAUCGCCGCCGGCUUCGACCCCAUCGUCCCCGACCUCGUCUUCUUCGGCAACUCCUCCACCCGCCUCCCCGAUCGCUCCGACACAUUCCAGGCGUGGUCGAUCAAGACGGCGCUGGAGGCGAUCGGGGUGACCAAGUUUGGGCUGGUUGGGGUGAGUUAUGGAGGGUUCGUGGGGUACAGGAUGGCGGCGAUGUACCCGGACGCGGUGGAGAGGGUGACUCUGGUGUGCGCCGGCGUUUGCCUGGAGGAGAAGGACCUCGCGGAGGGUCUGUUCCCGGUGGCCGCGGUCGAUGAGGCGGCAGCGCUGCUGGUGCCACGGCGGCCGGAGGAGGUGCGGCGCCUGGUCAGGCUCACAUUCGUGCGACCGCCGAUCAUCAUGCCGUCGUGCUUCCUUUGGGACUACAUUAAGGUGAUGGGCUCAGACCAUAUCCAGGAGAAGACUGAGCUACUACACGCUUUGAUUAGUGGGAGGCAAAUUUCGACUCUUCCAAAACUACGUCAGAAGACGCUGAUAAUUUGGGGGGAGCAAGAUAAGGUGUUCCCGAUGGAAUUGGCUCACAGAUUGAAGAGGCAUCUGGAUGGGAACUCUCGGUUGGCAGUCAUACACAACGCUGGGCACGCAGUCAAUCUCGAGAAGCCUGCAGAGGUGUGCAAGAGCAUCAUCGAGUUUUUCCAAGAGCCGAUCCCCGAAGCUUCAAACGACGAAAGGGUGUAG
rnacentral:rRNA from 1 species